rnacentral:rRNA from 1 species
GUUGAACGCUAGCGGCCGGCCUAACACAUGCAAGUCGACCGAUUCGCGGACGGGUGAGUCCUGUCUGGGAAACUGCCCGAUGGGGGGGGAUAACUACUGGAAACGGUAGCUAAUGCCGCAUACCAUCAGAUGUGCCCAGAUGGGAUUGGCUAGGUGGUGGGGUAUCGGCUCACCAAGGCGACGAUCCCUAGCUGGUCUGAGAGGAUGACCAGCCACACUGGAACUGAGACACGGUCCAGACUCCUACGGGAGGCAGCAGUGGGGAAUAUUGCACAAUGGGCGCAAGCCUGAUGCAGCCAUGCCGCGUGUAUGAAGAAGGCCUUCGGGUUGUAAAGUACUUUCAGCGGGGAGGCGUUACCCGCAGAAGAAGCACCGGCUAACUCCGUGCCAGCAGCCGCGGUAAUAC